UCCUCAAUGAUGAGAAACAAAGACAAGUCCAGUCUUCUUCUCACUUUAAUCCAGACUCUGUCUCUUUCAAUGUACAUACUUAUAGGCAGCCUGCUGGAUUUACCAAGGCCAUAGUGCCUGUUCCUCCUUUCCCUUUCAGACAGAGAGUCAAUUUUGACCAGGCUAGAGGACAUUUAUUCUGUAGAUACUGUAAAAAAUCUGGACACUUAAUUGAUAAGUUCUUCAAGAUCCAUGGGUAUCCACAAAGUAACACUUUUAACAAGGGAAGGAGACCUGCUGCUGCUCAUUUAAGUACUGGUCUGGAUUCUCCUCAUUCUACAAAGUAACACUUUUAACAAGGGAAGGAGACCUGCUGCUGCUCAUUUAAGUACUGGUCUGGAUUCUCUUCAUUCUGAUGGUCUUCUGUCUGUUCCUCAAGGGAAUCCUGCUGAUAGCCAUCAAUCUGUUGCAAGAAUUGAUGGCCAGACCUCUGUGAUACCAGG
rnacentral:lncRNA from 1 species